rnacentral:misc_RNA from 1 species
UAACACUUAGCAAGGGAACUGCCAAUACAUUUAUCGUUAUUUCACAAUUAGAAUCGGUAGAUAAUAGACAUAUAUUUGUUACAGUUAAAAUAACUUGAUGUGAUACAGAAAAGACAGAGACCUUUUUACAACGGAACCAGAAGAAAAGUAUGGCCCAUGCACCUCCGGCGAGAAAGAGAAAGCAGUCGCAAGAGCAUGACAUUCACAAGUUUCAAGGAAAAGAAUCCAUAUUAACUUCACAGAUCGAACUUUAUAUCGAAGAUGUCAAACCGAAGAUUCCUGAUGGAGGUUGGGGAUGGAUGAUAGUGUUGGCGGCUUUUGUGGUGAACGGUAUUUCUGAAGGCAUCAGCUUUUCCUUUGGACUGCUCUAUGUGGAGUUUCUGAACGCGUUCGAUGCUUCCAAGUCAGCGACGUCUUGGAUUGGAAGUCUCUUUUUAGCGAUGCCGUUGUUAGCAGGUCCAAUAGGCAGUGCGAUGGUAGAUAGAUAUGGAUGUAUAUAUAUGACAGUAUUGGGAAGUUUGAUCUCAACCAGUGGAUUUAUCCUCAGCAUGUUUGUAAAAUCAUUGACUAUGUUGUAUAUAACAUUUGGAAUUAUAGGCGGAAUAGGUCGAGCUCUUACAUUUGUUACCGCAGUGGUUUCCAUUGCAUUUUGGUUCGAAAAGAAAAGAACUAUAGCGCUAGGCCUCGCAGCUAGUGGUACCGGUGUAGGUACCAUCGCAUUUGCACCUUUAACGUCGCUCUUCAUCACCGAAUAUGGAUGGAGGGGAACCGUUUUGCUUCUAGGUGGAGCAUUUUUGAAUAUGUGCGUAUGUGGAGUCAUGAUGCGAGAUCCAAAAUGGAUACAGGAUGAGGCACGCGUGAAGAAGGCCAAAAAAGCUGCAAAAAAACGGAAAGCGAAGAUAAAACGAGAAAAUACGCAGCUGCUUUUGCAAAGGAUUAAUACUACAUUAGAUCUCAGCGAAAAGAAUCAUUUUAGAUCUGUAGUGGACCUUCCAACAUUCGUCAAAGAAAAUGAAAAAGUACCUCUGGAAGUCCUUAAUAGGUUAAGCGAAAAUAAACAAAUGUACAAAAUAAUACUGGAAAACUAUCCAAACAUGGUACCAUCGAAAAGCGCCUCUAAUCAAGACCUGCAUGUUCAGGAAAAUGGAUGUAAGACAAGGGUUCCUGUAAAAUUUUCGUUACAAGUUCAGGAGGAACCUGAAGAUGAACAACCAGAGGACAAUAAAGGUGAAAAUGGUAAAGUAGAAAAUCAUACGAGUCCGUUAUUGUAUACAAUUCCUGAAGCAAUUGAAGAACCAGAACCUCACAGUUAUUUACAAAUAAUGACAAUGUCCAGUCCUAAUUUAUAUAACGCAAGCAGGAGUACCAGACGAUCUGGUAAAAGUCCCUCAAAAGAAGUCCCUCAAAAAGUAAAAAAGAAAUGGUACACACAGUUUUGGAAAUUAAUAAAGGGUCUUCUGAACUUCUCUCUAUUCUUAGAACUUCAUUUUUUGUUAUUAGCAGUGUCCACAAUCAUAUUAUUUACGUGGUUUAUAGUGCCAUAUUUUUAUAUAGCGGAAUACAUGUUAAAGCUCGGCUAUACUGAUUCUCAAGCUUCUUCAGUUUUAUCAGCCAUUGGACUUACAAACACAAUAGGUGUUUCUCGGUUGGGCUGGAGAAAGAUUAAACAUAGCAAAAACAUAUGCCCUUUGCUUAAUAGUUUGCGGAGGCACCAUUGCAGGCAUUAUAUGGUUAUCUGGUAAUUAUAUUACUCUUCUGAUCGCAUGUGGCCUAUUUGGAUUAUUUUUUGCUAGUUGUUUUUCAUUGCUGCCCUCAUUACUGGGCGAAUUGGUGCCACUGGAAGAUUUUACUAUGGCCUAUGGUCUCAUAUUACUUUGUAUGGGUAUCGGUAACUUAAGUGGACCACCUCUCUCAGGGUUCAUAUACGAUUUAACGAAGACGUGGAAUAUGUCAUUUUACCAAGCAGCUUGUUGGAUUAUUUUUAGUGGUGUUCUGAUAGGAAUCAUACCAUAUACGAAAAAUAGAAAAAUCGUUGGAUCAGGUCCAGUUCUGAAUGAACAGUGAUAUUAUAAAAUAUAAGCCUUAUAUUACCGUAUAAUCAAAAAUUCUAGAAUAAAAAAAUGAAAUGUAUAUUUAAUAAACAAGCAAACAAAAUAUUGAAGUCACUUGUUCUUAAAUAAGAAAAGGCAUUUAAAAAAAGUUUACUACUUUUUUCAGAUUGAGAAACUAACUUUUCAUUUAAAAUAGGCGUAACAAUGUAAAUAAUUGAAUAUUUAGAUAAUUAAUUAAUAUUUCAUAAGAAUCCAUAGAAUUUUUCAUUUAUAAUUAAUUAAAAUGACAGUUUCUAAUGCGAAUAGCUCAGAUGGUAGAAAAUUACUAACGAUUAAUCUCAAAAUGUUAUUUAUAAUAGGGAAGAAAAGCAUGCUAAAUUUGCAGUCACUGCGUUAUGGGGACCUAUUGGGUUGUGAUUAUUAGGUCCUAAAACCAAAAAAAGUUAAGUAAAGUUUUCCAUUUCCAAUAAUGGUUUUUUCCGAUUAUAGCGCCAGCUAUCCAUAAUUCGAAAAAAUGUCUCAAAUAAAAGUUGCUUAUUUUUACGUAAACAAUCCAAAUCUGCGAUAAAAAUUUGGGGCUCACAUUUAAGAUUUUAAAGUAACCCCCUACCCCACCUCCGUGGGGAUCGUAUUUGAUACCAUUCGAUAGAUUUUUCAAUAACAUUGAAUAAGUGUAUUUUGCAGUUUUUCGAUGUGAUGUUCAUUUCGCGAAAUAUCGCGUAUUUUUUAGUUUUUCGAUAUACGUUCUGACGUUCAUUUCGCGAAAUAUUCGCUUUUUUUUGUGAAACUUUUUGACUCGUCCAUUUUCUUACGCCCCGUUCAAAUCGUCAGAUUUUUUAAAUAUACACUCGUUUGCAUGUACUUAACUUACCUUAUCUUAAUCUGACAAUUUCGAGUUUUUCUAAAGAUAGAUUUUUUUCGGACCCCCCUUAACGAAUUCCCCUGUGUUAAGAGCCAAUAUAUGGCAGAGGUACAUCUGCAGGGUACCACGUUUCUCCCCACAUGAUAAUCUGACGCGCUCGAGUAACUGCAAAAAUCCUCGCUUGGGCUCCCCUACCAUUAGUACCGAUGACGCAUCAAUAUAUAUUUUAGAUGAUUUUAUAUGACUUCGGUAUUUGCUUGUGAGUUUAUAUGUUUUGAUAACAUGUUAUUGUAUAAUUUAAUAAUUUAUUUUUUUUGUGUUAGUUACCAAACUAAUAUGCCUCUAUUGAAUUUUAAAUGAAACAUUUUCAUUAAAAAAUGUAUAUAUUUUAA